GGAUGAACGCUAGCGGCAGGCCUAAUACAUGCAAGUCGUACGGCAACACAGUUGCGAGCAAUCGCAACCGGUGGCGAGUGGCGCACGGGUGAGUAACGCGUAUGUAACCUACCCUUCUCCGGGACAUAACUCCGCGAAAGCGGUGCUAAUAUCCCAUACCAACUCAUCAAGACAUCUUCUUGAGUUGAAAGCAGCAAUGCGGUGAAGGAUGGGCAUGCGUCCCAUUAGCUGGUUGGUGAGGUAAUGGCCCACCAAGGCUACGAUGGGUAGGGGUUCUGAGAGGAAAGCCCCCCACACUGGUACUGAGACACGGACCAGACUCCUACGGGAGGCAGCAGUAAGGAAUAUUGGGCAAUGGUCGAAAGACUGACCCAGCCAUGCCGCGUGCAGGAUGAAGGCCCUAUGGGUUGUAAACUGCUUUUAGCCGGGAAUAAACACCCGUUUUAUAACGGGCCCGAAGGUACCGGCUGAAUAAGCAUCGGCUAACUCCGUGCCAGCAGCCGCGGUAAUACGGAGGAUGCAAGCGUUAUCCGGAUUUAUUGGGUUUAAAGGGUGCGCAGGCGGGAGAUUAAGUCGGCGGUGAAAUUUUGCAGCUUAACUGUAAAAGUGCCAUCGAUACUGGUUUUCUUGAGUGUGGAUGAAGUAGGCGGAAUUUGUGGUGUAGCGGUGAAAUGCAUAGAUAUCACAAGGAACACCGAUUGCGCAGGCAGCUUACUAAACCAUAACUGACGCUCAGGCACGAAGGCGUGGGGAGCAAACAGGAUUAGAUACCCUGGUAGUCCACGCAGUAAACGAUGAUUACUGGCUGUUUGCGAUAUACAGUGAGCGGCUAAGCGAAAGCAUUAAGUAAUCCACCUGGGGAGUACGUUCGCAAGAAUGAAACUCAAAGGAAUUGACGGGGGCCCGCACAAGCGGAGGAACAUGUGGUUUAAUUCGAUGAUACGCGAGGAACCUUACCCGGGCUUGAAAUGCAUUUGACAGGGGCAGAGAUGCCCUCUCCCUUCGGGGCAGAUGUGUAGGUGCUGCAUGGUUGUCGUCAGCUCGUGCCGUGAGGUGUCGGCUUAAGUGCCAUAACGAGCGCAACCCUCAUCAUUAGUUACCAUCAGGUAAAGCUGGGGACUCUAAUGAGACUGCCAUCGUAAGAUGCGAGGAAGGUGGGGAUGACGUCAAAUCAGCACGGCCCUUACGUCCGGGGCGACACACGUGUUACAAUGGGUGGUACAAAGGGCAGCUACCUGGCGACAGGAUGCUAAUCUCCAAAACCACUCUCAGUUCGGAUCGGAGUCUGCAACUCGACUCCGUGAAGCUGGAUUCGCUAGUAAUCGCGCAUCAGCCACGGCGCGGUGAAUACGUUCCCGGGCCU
rnacentral:rRNA from 1 species